rnacentral:ncRNA from 1 species
CAAAGGCUUGGUCCUAGCCUUACUAUCAGCUUUAGCCCAAAUUAUACAUGCAAGUAUCCGCACCCCCGUGAGAAUGCCCUCAUUCCCCUGCCCGAGGAAGAGGAGCGGGCAUCAGGCACACCCUACCUUGGCCCAAGACGCCUUGCUACGCCACACCCCCAAGGGAAUUCAGCAGUAAUAAAUAUUAAGACAUGAGCGAAAGCUCGACUUAGUUAAGGCUAAAAGGGUCGGUAAAAUUCGUGCCAGCCACCGCGGUUAUACGAAAGACCCUAGUUGAUACUUACGGCGUAAAGAGUGGUUAAGGUCCCAAACAAAUAGAGCUAAAGAUCCUCUAAGCAGUCAUACGCACUACGAGGACGCGAGACCCUUACACGAAAGUAGCUUUAAAAUUCUUAGCCUGACCCCACGAAAGUUAAGUAACAAACUGGGAUUAGAUACCCCACUAUGCUUAACCCUAAACCUUGAUGUAUCCCCACAACUACAUCCGCCAGGGUACUACGAGCACAGCUUAAAACCCAAAGGACUUGGCGGUGUCUCAGACCCACCUAGAGGAGCCUGUUCUAGAACCGAUAACCCCCGUUAAACCUCACCACUCCUUGUUUUACCCGCCUAUAUACCGCCGUCGUCAGCUUACCCUGUGAAGGCACAACAGUAAGCAAAAUAGAUUCACCCAAAAACGUCAGGUCGAGGUGUAGCGUACGAAGUGGAAAGAAAUGGGCUACAUUUUCUUAACACUAAGAAAAUUACGAACGGCACACUGAAAAUAGUGCCCGAAGGUGGAUUUAGUAGUAAAAAGCAAGCAGAGUGUCCUUUUGAAUUAGGCUCUGAGACGCGCACACACCGCCCGUCACUCUCCCCUCCACACCCACUAAACAUCACUAAUAAAUUAAUCAGCCAACACGGGGAGGCAAGUCGUAACAUGGUAAGUGUACCGGAAGGUGCACUUGGAAUAAU